rnacentral:rRNA from 1 species
AACGAACGCUGGCGGCAUGCCUAACACAUGCAAGUCGAACGAGACCUUCGGGUCUAGUGGCGCACGGGUGCGUAACGCGUGGGAACCUGCCCUUAGGUUCGGAAUAACUCCCCGAAAGGGGUGCUAAUACCGGAUAAUGUCUUCGGACCAAAGAUUUAUCGCCUUUGGAUGGGCCCGCGUUGGAUUAGCUUGUUGGUAGGGUAAAAGCCUACCAAGGCGACGAUCCAUAGCUGGUAUGAGAGGAUGAUCAGCCACACUGGGACUGAGACACGGCCCAGACUCCUACGGGAGGCAGCAGAGGGGAAUAUUGGACUAUGGGCGGAAGCCUGAUCCAGCAAUGCCGCGUGAGUGAUGAAGGCCUUAGGGUUGUAAAGCUCUUUUACCCGGGAUGAUAAUGACAGUACCGGGAGAAUAAGCUCCGGCUAACUCCGUG